rnacentral:rRNA from 1 species
CUACGGGAGGCUGCAGUGGGGAAUAUUGCACGAUGGGCGCAAGCCUGAUGCAGCCAUGCCGCGUGUGUGAAGAAGGCCUUCGGGUUGUAAAGCACUUUCAGCGGGGAGGAAGGCGGUGAGGUUAAUAACCUCAUCGAUUGACGUUACCCGCAGAAGAAGCACCGGCUAACUCCGUGCCAGCAGCCGCGGUAAUACGGAGGGUGCAAGCGUUAAUCGGAAUUACUGGGCGUAAAGCGCACGCAGGCGGUCUGUCAAGUCGGAUGUGAAAUCCCCGGGCUCAACCUGGGAACUGCAUUCGAAACUGGCAGGCUAGAGUCUUGUAGAGGGGGGUAGAAUUCCAGGUGUAGCGGUGAAAUGCGUAGAGAUCUGGAGGAAUACCGGAGGCGAAGGCGGCCCCCUGGACAAAGACUGACGCUCAGGUGCGAAAGCGUGGGGAGCAAACAGGAUUAGAUACCCUUGUAGUC